rnacentral:rRNA from 1 species
UACGUAGGGUGCAAGCGUUAAUCGGAAUUACUGGGCGUAAAGCGUGCGCAGGCGGUUUUGUAAGUCAGAUGUGAAAUCCCCGGGCUUAACUUGGGAAUUGCGCUCGAAACUACUUGGCUGGAGUGUGGCAGAGGAAGGUGGAAUUCCACGUGUAGCGGUGAAAUGCGUAGAGAUGUGGAGGAACACCAAUGGCGAAGGCAGCCUUCUGGGCCAACACUGACGCUCAUGCACGAAAGCGUGGGGAGCAAACAGG